AGAGUUUGAUCCUGGCUCAGGAUGAACGCUGGCGGCGUGCCUAACACAUGCAAGUCGAACGAAGCACUUUCCUUCGGGGAAGUGACUGAGUGGCGGACGGGUGAGUAACGCGUGGGUAACCUGCCCUGUACAGGGGGAUAACAGUUGGAAACGACUGCUAAUACCGCAUAAGCACACGAGAUGGCAUCAUCAUGUGUGAAAAACUCCGGUGGUACAGGAUGGGCCCGCGUCUGAUUAGUUAGUUGGCGGGGUAACGGCCUACCAAGACGACGAUCAGUAGCCGGUCUGAGAGGAUGAACGGCCACAUUGGAACUGAGACACGGUCCAAACUCCUACGGGAGGCAGCAGUGGGGAAUAUUGCACAAUGGGGGAAACCCUGAUGCAGCAACGCCGCGUGAGUGAAGAAGUAUUUCGGUAUGUAAAGCUCUAUCAGCAGGGAAGAUAAUGACGGUACCUGACUAAGAAGCUCCGGCUAAAUACGUGCCAGCAGCCGCGGUAAUACGUAGGUGGCAAGCGUUGUCCGGAUUUACUGGGUGUAAAGGGCGUGUAGGCGGAGCUGCAAGUCAGAUGUGAAAUCCCGGGGCUCAACCCCGGAACUGCAUUUGAAACUGUAGCCCUUGAGUAUCGGAGAGGCAAGCGGAAUUCCUAGUGUAGCGGUGAAAUGCGUAGAUAUUAGGAGGAACACCAGUGGCGAAGGCGGCUUGCUGGACGACAACUGACGCUGAGGCGCGAAAGCGUGGGGAGCAAACAGGAUUAGAUACCCUGGUAGUCCACGCUGUAAACGAUGAAUACUAGGUGUGGGAGGACUGACCCCUUCCGUGCCGCAGUUAACACAAUAAGUAUUCCACCUGGGGAGUACGAUCGCAAGAUUGAAACUCAAAGGAAUUGACGGGGGCCCGCACAAGCAGUGGAUUAUGUGGUUUAAUUCGACGCAACGCGAAGAACCUUACCAGGAUUUGACAUCCCACUAACGAAGUAGAGAUACAUUAGGUGCCCUUCGGGGAAAGUGGAGACAGGUGGUGCAUGGUUGUCGUCAGCUCGCGUCGUGAGAUGUUGGGUUAAGUCCCGCAACGAGCGCAACCCCUAUUGUCAGUUGCUACGCAAGAGCACUCUGGCGAGACUGCCGUUGACAAAACGGAGGAAGGCGGGGACGACGUCAAAUCAUCAUGCCCCUUAUGUCCUGGGCUACACACGUAAUACAAUGGCGUUAAACAAAGGGAAGCAAAGCCGCGAGGUGGAGCAAAUCCCCAAAAGGCGUCUCAGUUCGGAUUGCAGGCUGAAACUCGCCUGCAUGAAGCUGGAGUUGCUAGUAAUCGUGGAUCAGCAUGCCACGGUGAAUACGUUCCCGGGCCUUGCACACACCGCCCGUCA
rnacentral:rRNA from 1 species